rnacentral:lncRNA from 1 species
UUAGGUUUCAUAAAUAGUGAUGAGUGUGCCUUACCUCUACUCUACCUUCCCAGUUGAUUCGUAGAUUUGGUUUUGCUUGACUCUACGAUUCUUCGAUGUUGGUAAGUAGAGGUUGGGUUACUCUUUUCCUUUAUGAAACCCGUCUUACGAGAUCCUUUACUUCUCUGAGUAUAACUAGUUCUUCUAACUGUAAGGAUUUCACAAAAGCAAU